GCAAUCUACAGAUUCAAUGCAACCCCCAUCAAAAUCUCAACACAAUUCUUCACAGAACUGAAAAAUGGAAAAACUUAAAACCCAGGAUAGCCAAAACAAUCCUGUACAAUUCAGGAACUUCUGGAAGUAUCACCAUCCCUAACCUCAAGCUCUACUAUAGAACUACAGUAAUAAAAACGGUUUGGUUGGCAUUAAAAACAGACAGGUGGAUCAAUGGAAUCGAAUCAAAGACUCCAGUAUAAAUCCACACACCCAAGAUCACCUGAUUUUUGACAAAGAAGCCAAAAAUAAACAAUGGAAAAAAGAGAAUGUUCAACAGAAGUUGGUGGUAUAACUGGAUGUCAACAUGUCAAAGACUGCAAAUAUCUCCAUAUCUAUCAUCAAUCAGAAAACUCAAGUCCAAGUAGAUCAAAGACCUCAACAUAAAUCCAGCUACACUGAUCCUGAUAGCAAAGAAAGUGGGAUGUAGCUUUGAACGCAUUGACGCAGAAGACCACUUCCUAGAUAUAACACCACCAGCACAGACACUGAGAUCAACGAUUAAUAAAUGGGACCUCCCAAAACUGAAAAGCUUCUAUAAGGCAAAGGAUAUGGCAAAUAAGACAAAAAGGCACCCUAGAGACUGGGAAAACAUCUUCUCCAACCCCACAUCUGACAGGAAACGGAUUUCCAAAAUACAUAUAAAAAAUAACUUAAGAAACUAGACAUCAAAAUACCAAAUAAUCCCAUUUAAAAAUAGGUUCCAGAUUUAAACAGAGAAUUCUCAAAAGAAGAAUCUCAAAUGGCUGAGAUACACUUAAAGAAUUGCUCAACAUCCUUAGCCAUCGGGGAAAUGCAAAUCAAAAUGACUCUGAGACACCAUCUUAUACCAGACAGAAUGGCUAAGUACAAAAAUGUUAAUGACAGCCUAUGUUGGAGAGGAUGUGGAAUAAGUGGGACACUACUCCACUGAUGGUGGGAGUGCAAAUUUGUACAACCAUUUUGGAAAUUAGUAUGGCAUUUUCUCAGAAAAUUGGGAAUCAAUCUACCUCAAGACCCAGCAAUACCACUCUUAGGCAUACCCCCAAAGAAUAUUCAAUCAUACUACAAGGACACUUGCUCAACUAUGUUCAUAGCAGCAUUAUUUGUAAUAGUCAGAACCUGGAAACAACUUAGUUGCCUCUCCACUGAAAAAUGGAUAAAGAAAAUUUGGUACAUCUACACAAAGAAGUAUUAAUCAGCAGUGAAAAAUAAUGGCAUCAUGAAAUUUGCAGUCAAAUGGAUGUAAUUAGAAAAAAAAAUCAUCCUUAGAGAAGUGACCCAGACACAGAAAGACAAACACGGAAUGUGCUCACUCUUAAGUGGAUAUUACAUGUAAAGCAAAGGAUAACCAGGCUAUGAUCCUCAGCCCCUGAGAAGCUAGGUAACAAGGAGGACCCUAAGGGAGAUGCAUAGAACUCCCUGGAAAGAGAAAAUAGAUGAGAUGUCCUAGGUAAACUGGGGGUGGGGUAGAGGGGCAGGGAUGGGAACAUGAAGGAUCAGGAUGGUCAAUCAAUUUGGGGGCAAGGUGUAGGGAGAGAUUAAUGAAAGAGAUAUCUUGAUAAAAAGGGAGCAUUAUGGGUUUAGGGAGAACCUGGUGCUAGGGAAAUUCCUAGGAAACCACAAGAAUGACCCCAGCUAAGACUCCUAGCAGUAGUGGAGAGGGUGCCUGCACUGGCCUUGCUUGGUAUUCAGAUUGUUGAUUAUCCUAAUUGUCACCAUAGAGCCUUCAUCCAGUAACAGAUGGAAGCAGAUGCAGAGAUCCACAGCCAAGCACUGGGCUGAGCUCUGGGAGUCCAGUUGAAGAGAGAUCAACUUUUUUGGUGACAGCUGCAUAUGAGAUAAGACAAAGAAUCAGGGAAAAUAUCAGACAUUGGAAGAGACAGGAGCCCUUCAUCCAGGAAUUUGCUUAAAUUCUCUCUCUAUUUGAGAGUCAAUAAUUCCAGUACAAUUAACUAUCGCCUAAGACCUUUCUCCUUUCCCAGUUAUUAACUAACAGUUUAAUAAUUUCACUAGAAAUGCCACUUACAAUAAAAGACAUGUUGUAAACGC